CACAGCACAAGCAACAAGAAAUUUUAUUUGAAAUUUACUUUUACAAAUUAAGAAACAACUGUGAAGGGACAGGUGAGUGGCUAGUUGGAUCUCAGAUAGCAGAUGAUGAUGCCUCAAGUAUCAAAGUGAAGAGCAGGUUAACUUAAAUUGGGGAGGAUGAAUUUGAGGAAAGCUAUUUGCUCCAUUAGUUCUGAGGAUAUUUGUGAUCAUUGUGAAUUCAGGAUGUUUCCUGUCUGUCUGUGGACAUUACAAUAGCUUCUGGACAACCAGACACAGAGCAGGCCUCACACUUUACUGCUCAUCCCAGCAGCUCAGCUGCACUUGGGAAAGACUACUUGCUCCAAUAAAAAUAUUAUUGAUAUGCUAGCACCAGCAGUGUAGAACUCUAAUUAUAGACAUG